rnacentral:RNase_P_RNA from 2 species
UGGGCAGGCUGGGCGACUACCCCGAGAAUCAUCGAGGGGAGGAAAGUCCGGACUCCAUAGAGCGGUGUGCCUCGUAACGCGAGGUCGGGUUUAAACCCGAAGGAAAGUGCAACAGAGAAGACACGGCCGAACUCAAGCCUAAAGCUUGGGUGGCAAAGGUGAAAACGGGAGGUAAGAGCUCCCGACGGAGAUAAGGCUGGAGACAGCCACGUUGUAAACCCCACACGGAGCAAGAUCAAAAAGGGAGAGAGCUGGCUCGGCUCGUUAUGAUCCCGAGUAGAUCGCAAAGAGGUAGUUAGCGAUAACUAUCCCAGAUAGAUGGUCGCACUCGACAGAAUCCGGCUUAUAAGUCUGCCCAUUUU